UACGUAGGGUCCAAGCGUUAAUCGGAAUUACUGGGCGUAAAGCGUGCGCAGGCGGUUUUGUAAGCCAGAUGUGAAAUCCCCGGGCUUAACCUGGGAAUGGCAUUUGGGACUGCAAGGCUAGAGUACGGCAGAGGAGACUAGAAUUCCUGGUGUAGCAGUGAAAUGCGUAGAUAUCAGGAGGAAUACCGAUGGCGAAGGCAGGUCUCUGGGUCGAUACUGACGCUCACGCACGAAAGCGUGGGGAGCAAACAGG
rnacentral:rRNA from 1 species